UACGAAGGGGGCUAGCGUUGUUCGGAAUUACUGGGCGUAAAGCGCGCGCAGGCGGUCCUACAAGUCAGAGGUGAAAGCCCAGGGCUCAACCCUGGAACUGCCUUUGAAACUGUGGGACUUGGGUAUGGGAGAGGUGAGCGGAAUUCCGAGUGUAGAGGUGAAAUUCGUAGAUAUUCGGAAGAACACCAGUGGCGAAGGCGGCUCACUGGCCCAUUACCGACGCUCAGGCGCGACAGCGUGGGGAGCAAACAGG
rnacentral:rRNA from 1 species